rnacentral:lncRNA from 1 species
GAGAAACACAUAAUCACAUGGAAGUAAUUAAUCAACAAACAACAUAGUAAUUAAUUAACAUACCGUGACAAAAUUAAGUAAUUGAUUACUCUUGUCACUGCCACAAAACGCAUGGAUGAUUGAUUCGUUGCCACCAUGCAAGAACCAAUCAAGCAGAGGCAUAAAGUACAAUAUCUACUCACGGCUUUCAUACUUGGUACUGAAACACACUAGCAAACCAGCAAACGUACGUACGCCAUAGCUAGCAGACGUACGUAUCAAUUUAAUUUGCUGGUAUUUUUUUUGCGUAUACAUAUAUAUAGUAGGAUUAUACAAUACAGAUCAUACAAUACACACAUACGAUCGUGGCCGGAGUCGAGGAAGACGACGAUGAUCAAAGAUCAUGGAGGGGGUGCGGCGGCGGCGUCG